GUCAGGACUUUCCCCAAGCGUCCUCUCCCCCAGUCCCCCCCUCACCCUACCUCCCCCCUUCUCUUUCUCUCUCUCCAGCUGGUCACGACCCGAAGGAAUGUGACAGACUUUCAUCUAUUUUUUUUUUCUUUUUCUUCCUUUUUUUUUUAAGGUUUCGUGUACGUAUAACCGCUGCUCUGGUCUGAAAGGUUAAUUGAAAUGAGGUCACUGUUUGAUCUGUGUGCGUGUUUGUGUGUGUGUGUGUGUGUGUGUGUGAAUGCUGCUACACCUUCACGACUAUCUAAACUCUAAAGUAUGAUGACAUUAUGGCUGGCUGACUGACUGACUGACUGACUGACUGACUGACUGACUGAAUGAAUGAAUGAAUGACUGGGUGUGUUGGUACUGGAUGGCUGAUUGAUUAGGUGCUUGGGUGGAUGACUGACUGACUGACCGAGUUGACUGGAGAAAGAGUGAGUGAGUGAGUGAGCCAGUGACUGAGUGGAUGGGUGGAAGGGAUGAAGGAGGAUGGAGCCUGGUUUUGCGACAAGGUUGUUUUGAAGACACCUAGAUAAUACAAGAAGUGGUUAUGGCAAUGUCGACACACACACACACACACACACACACACACACACACACACACACACACACACACACGGCCGGCAAUAAAUGAAGGUGUGGUUUUACAUACGAGUAAUUUAUGUAGCUAUGUAAGUACAGUACAGCACCAUUGUUUGUAACGUGGCCUUGGCUUCCACGGAGUAGCACACUGCACAGCGCCAAGAUGAAGUCUGUAUAUGUGUGUGUGUGUGUGUGUGUGUGUGUGUGUGUGUGUGUAUGUGUGUGUGUGUGUGUGUGUGUGUGUGUGUGUGUGUGUGUGUGUGUGUGUGUGUGUGUGUGUGCAAAUUUGACAUAGUACAUGAAAACACCACAUCAUUGCCUCAACAGAAAAAGUAAAUAUGAAGAAGAGGAACUCAUCACAACUUAUAAGAUCUUGUCAGACAAAUUUAAAAUAAACACAAACAUAUAUGCA